AGCGGCGGACGGGUGAGUAACGCGUGGGAACAUACCCUUUGGUACGGAACAACACGGGGAAACCUGUGCUAAUACCGGAUAAGUCCUUACGGAGAAAGUUUUAAUGCCAAAAGAUGAGCCCGCAUUUGAUUAGCUAGUUGGUGAGGUAAAAGCUCACCAAGGCGAUAAUCAAUAGCUGAUUUGAGAGGAUGAUCAGCCACAUUGGGACUGAGACACGGCCCAGACUCC
rnacentral:rRNA from 1 species